rnacentral:tRNA from 1 species
UGCUUUGAAGGCAGGGGGUCGCCGGUACGAUCCCGACAGGCCCCA